CCCGUCGUGACCCUCAACGCCAAGAACAAGUCCACUUGCAGGCUAGAUGCGGGUCAAUUAUAAUCGCAUGGGACUACCAACUCACAGGUUUAUCUCUCCCUACUAAUCCAGGUGCAUCUCCAUAGUCAUCUUGCCCUCCACAAUUUUAUUUCAUAAAAGGUCAAGGCCAAGGUAAAAGUGCAGCCAAACUCCUCCUAUCUGAUUUAGCCCCUAGAAGCUAGAACAUCUCAUCUUUGCUUAUGCAAAUCUGUUUUGUCUAUGACUAGGUGCUCGAUUAAAAUCCUUGCUAAGAUAUGUUAUAUUUAUGCUCCACUGUACCAGGAUGUUAAGGAGAGAGAUUUUAUGUGAGCUUAUAUUCUAUACUUCUAUCCUUUCUCACUAACAAUGAAUGUGUUGUUCUUCCUGGUUCGGCUAGGCAUGAAGCACAAUUAUCCCUAGAAGCUUUUGGGAAUGUCUUGGCCAAUACAGGCUGUGAUAAGAUGUGUGACUAACUAUGUCCAGAAGCUUUUGGGAAUUCUCACUAACACAAUUAUUCACGCUUUAUUUAAUGCUUGCUUAUCACAUUGGCACAAGUUUCCUGACUGCUCUAUUUACUCUCUAUGCCAGUUUUAUUCGUUCAUGUCAAUGGCCUGGCCAUUACCAUUAUGUGUUACAGCUUGGUUGACGUUUUUUUUUCUCCUGCUUGUUGCUUUUUUUUCGGUAAUGUCAUGUACAUAUCAUAGUCUAGGAAAAACCUAGCCGGCAUGAACUAGAAUGAGUAUGCACUGUGUUUCGGCAACCAUGUGGCUUGAUCUCUAUAUGUUUCCCUCUUUUCAUUACUAUUGCACAUAUCAUUGAUUGUGUUCUUUGUCAUCUGUUGAAUUGGUCCAAAACUAAGUUCAUUUCUUGUAAUGAAAAAUCAUUGAAUUACUGUCUGAAAAUAAUAACAUUUUCAUUUGUUUUAUCAAUGGAUGAAUCUCCAGACUUGGGUUUCCAAUUAUGCUAUAUCCAACUAAAAAUAUUUCUUUGGUAAAUUCAUGCUUGACUUACUUGGGAAGGUAUUGUUGUGUAAACAUGAAAGCUUACUUUUUGUGCAGGUAAGAAAAGUGUCCUAUUCUUCCAUGGAAUGUGCGCUGGUGUUCAGAUGCAAGCUUGAUAAUCUCUAUGUGAUAUGUAUGUAGGUUUAUUUUUUGGUAUGGCUAGCUCUAUUGUGCACCUCUUUCCUAAUGUAUGAUGCAUUUAUAUGGCUACUGUGUUUCAUUAAUUUUCGUUUUCUCAGGGCUUACAUCGACCAUCACUUAACUGCAGGAGCGAAACUACAUUCAGGGAAUUGGCUUCAGAGAUCUACAGAUAUUCAGCGCUCAAGCUUCCUGCAGCAGUUGAUGCAGUUGCAGAUACAUCUUAUUUAGCUUAGAUCAUCCUACUGCAUUAUUAUGUAUAUUUUUUCGUUACCAGUUUGCUCUAUACUAUAUUACUAAAGAUAUUUCCUUCAGUGUGCUCUCUGUUUAGUUGUAGUCAGCGUAUUGAGGUCUGUCCUUUAUCUCAUUUGUCUUUGUACUACUCCAGAUCAUCAUAGCCAGUUCACUUAGUGAUGACCUUUUCAGUUUCACCUUAUUCAGUUUUUUUACUUUGUGUUAUUUAGUUUUUUUACUUUGACUUUUCAGUUUCACCUUAUUCAUAUGGGCGUAAUGUGCAAAAUUCAGUGUAUCAGGCAAACUGAACCUAAAAUUCAGAACACUGUGCCUGCCCUUCACCAACUCCUCUUUGUGCUUGAUGUUGACCGGCGGUAGAGCUCAAUCGUCGUUGGAACCAACCAGCAAGAGAAGAAAAAUAGAAACACUAAAUUACAUCAGCGAGAAAGAGAGAAACCUGCAGCGCCCUUGGAAUCUUCAGCAGUGGUCGCAACACAACUGGGCUGGAGCUCAAAUCGGUAGUUGUUUCGUUGCUCAACCUGGGUUAGAGACGAACCCGAGCUGAGCUCUGGGCGCGGAGAAGUCAGAAGACGAACUCCAGCAGCCAUCUGACAACUCGCCACCCGCCACUCCGUCGUGGCAUCGUCGGACCAGACGGCAAGAGCUUUGGGGAAUGAGAAGAAGUGUUGAGAAGAAUCACGGAGUUUGGUCAAUGACUCAACCGAUUGGAUUAUUUGGGCCUCCUGGGCUAAAGGCCACGGUAGUACAAGUAUUAGGGGUACUAGAAAAUUUGUAAUUUUGCUAGAGGGCCACGACCCAGGUUGGCUGUGUACA